rnacentral:rRNA from 1 species
GAUGAACGCUGGCGGCGUGCCUAAUACAUGCAAGUCGAGCGAACAGACGAGGAGCUUGCUCCUCUGACGUUAGCGGCGGACGGGUGAGUAACACGUGGAUAACCUACCUAUAAGACUGGGAUAACUUCGGGAAACCGGAGCUAAUACCGGAUAAUAUAUUGAACCGCAUGGUUCAAUAGUGAAAGACGGUUUUGCUGUCACUUAUAGAUGGAUCCGCGCCGCAUUAGCUAGUUGGUAAGGUAACGGCUUACCAAGGCAACGAUGCGUAGCCGACCUGAGAGGGUGAGCAGCCACACUGGAACAGACACCCGGACCGGACUCAUACGGGAGGCAGCAGUAGGGAAUCUUCCGCGAUGGGCGAAAGACUGACGGAGCAACGCCGCGUGAAUGAUGAAGUUCGUCGGAUCGUAAAACUCUGUUAAUAGGGAAGAACAAAUGUGUAAGUAACUAUGCACGUCUAGACGGUACCUAAUCAGAAAGCCACGGCUAACUACGUA